rnacentral:rRNA from 1 species
UACGGGGGGGGCAAGCGUUGUUCGGAAUUACUGGGCGUAAAGGGCGCGUAGGCGGCCUGCUAAGUCGGAUGUGAAAUCCCUCGGCUCAACCGAGGAACUGCAUCCGAUACUGGCGGGCUUGAAUCCGGGAGAGGGAUGUGGAAUUCCAGGUGUAGCGGUGAAAUGCGUAGAUAUCGAGAGGAACACCUGCGGCGAAGGCGGGUUGCUGGGCUGACACUGACGCUGAAGCGCGAAAGCUAGGGGAGCGAACGGG